UCCCUCAUAGCUUAGUCGGUAAGAAUUUGCCUGCAAUGCAGGAAACCCAGGUUCAAUUCCUGGGUUGGAA
rnacentral:tRNA from 1 species